UACGGAGGGUGCAAGCGUUGUCCGGAAUUACUGGGCGUAAAGCGCGCGCAGGCGGUUCUUCGAGUCAGUGGUGAAAGCCCGGAGCUCAACUCCGGAAUUGCCAUUGAAACUGUAGAACUUGAGGAUGAGAGAGGUGAGUGGAAUUCCCAGUGUAGAGGUGAAAUUCGUAGAUAUUGGGAAGAACACCGGUGGCGAAGGCGGCUCACUGGCUCAUUUCUGACGCUCAGGCGCGACAGCGUGGGGAUCAAACAGG
rnacentral:rRNA from 1 species